ACUCCUACGGGAGGCAGCAGUGGGGAAUAUUGGACAAUGGGCGCAAGCCUGAUCCAGCCAUGCCGCGUGAGUGAUGAAGGCCCUAGGGUUGUAAAGCUCUUUCACCGGUGAAGAUAAUGACGGUAACCGGAGAAGAAGCCCCGGCUAACUUCGUGCCAGCAGCCGCGGUAAUACGAAGGGGGCUAGCGUUGUUCGGAUUUACUGGGCGUAAAGCGCACGUAGGCGGACUAUUAAGUCAGGGGUGAAAUCCCGGGGCUCAACCCCGGAACUGCCUUUGAUACUGGUAGUCUUGAGUUCGAGAGAGGUGAGUGGAAUUCCGGGUGUAGAGGUGAAAUUCGUAGAUAUUCGGGGGAACACCAGUGGCGAAGGCGGCUCACUGGCUCGAUACUGACGCUAAGGUGCGAAAGCGUGGGGAGCAAACAGGAUUAGAAACCCUGGUAGUCCC
rnacentral:rRNA from 1 species